rnacentral:rRNA from 1 species
CCUACGGGAGGCAGCAGUGGGGAAUUUUGGACAAUGGACGCAAGUCUGAUCCAGCCAUGCCGCGUGCGGGAAGAAGGCCUUCGGGUUGUAAACCGCUUUUGUCAGGGAAGAAAAGGCUCUUUCUAAUAAAGAGGGCUCAUGACGGUACCUGAAGAAUAAGCACCGGCUAACUACGUGCCAGCAGCCGCGGUAAUACGUAGGGUGCAAGCGUUAAUCGGAAUUACUGGGCGUAAAGCGUGCGCAGGCGGUUGUGCAAGACAGGUGUGAAAUCCCCGGGCUUAACCUGGGAACUGCACUUGUGACUGCACGGCUAGAGUACGGUAGAGGGGGAUGGAAUUCCACGUGUAGCAGUGAAAUGCGUAGAUAUGUGGAGGAACACCGAUGGCGAAGGCAAUCCCCUGGACCUGUACUGACGCUCAUGCACGAAAGCGUGGGGAGCAAAUAGGAUUAGAUACCCUGGUAGUCCACGCCCUAAACGAUGUCAACUGGUUGUUGGGAGGGUUUCUUCUCAGUAACGUAGCUAACGCGUGAAGUUGACCGCCUGGGGGAGGACGGCCGGCGAAGGUAGUAACGUUACGAAAGUAAGUUAGUUACGGCGUUGNGACGNGCCGACGGCGACGACGAGGGAGGAGG